GUCCACGCCCUAAACGAUGAAUACUCGAUGUUGGCGAUACACAGUCAGCGUCUAAGCGAAAGCAUUAAGUAUUCCACCUGGGGAGUACGGUCGCAAGACUGAAACUCAAAGGAAUUGACGGGGGCCCGCACAAGCGGAGGAGCAUGUGGUUUAAUUCGAUGAUACGCGAGGAACCUUACCUGGGCUUGAAAGUUAGUGAAUUCCGCAGAAACGCGGGAGGCCGAAAGGACACGAAACUAGGUGCUGCAUGGCUGUCGU
rnacentral:rRNA from 1 species